AUUGAACGCUGGCGGAAUGCUUUACACAUGCAAGUCGAACGGCAGCACGGGGCAACCUGGUGGCGAGUGGCGAACGGGUGAGUAAUACAUCGGAACGUGCCCAAUCGUGGGGGAUAACGUAGCGAAAGUUACGCUAAUACCGCAUACGAUCUACGGAUGAAAGCGGGGAUCGCAAGACCUCGCGCGAAUGGAGCGGCCGAUGUCAGAUUAGGUAGUUGGUGGGGUAAAGGCUCACCAAGCCGACGAUCUGUAGCUGGUCUGAGAGGACGACCAGCCACACUGGGACUGAGACACGGCCCAGACUCCUACGGGAGGCAGCAGUGGGGAAUUUUGGACAAUGGGCGCAAGCCUGAUCCAGCCAUUCCGCGUGCAGGAUGAAGGCCUU
rnacentral:rRNA from 1 species